UACGAAGGGGGCUAGCGUUGCUCGGAAUCACUGGGCGUAAAGCGCACGUAGGCGGCUUCUUAAGUCAGGGGUGAAAUCCUGGAGCUCAACUCCAGAACUGCCCUUGAUACUGAGGAGCUCGAGUCCGGAAGAGGUGAGUGGAACUGCGAGUGUAGAGGUGAAAUUCGUAGAUAUUCGCAAGAACACCAGUGGCGAAGGCGGCUCACUGGCCCGAUACUGACGCUGAGGCACGAAAGCGUGGGGAGCAAACAGGG
rnacentral:rRNA from 1 species